rnacentral:rRNA from 1 species
GCGGCGUGCUUAACACAUGCAAGUCGAACGGAAAGGCCCUGCUUUUGUGGGGUGCUCGAGUGGCGAACGGGUGAGUAACACGUGAGUAACCUGCCCUUGACUUUGGGAUAACUUCAGGAAACUGGGGCUAAUACCGGAUAGGAGCUCCUGCUGCAUGGUGGGGGUUGGAAAGUUUCGGCGGUUGGGGAUGGACUCGCGGCUUAUCAGCUUGUUGGUGGGGUAGUGGCUUACCAAGGCUUUGACGGGUAGCCGGCCUGAGAGGGUGACCGGCCACAUUGGGACUGAGAUACGGCCCAGACUCCUACGGGAGGCAGCAGUGGGGAAUAUUGCACAAUGGGCGGAAGCCUGAUGCAGCAACGCCGCGUGCGGGAUGACGGCCUUCGGGUUGUAAACCGCUUUCGCCUGUGACGAAGCGUGAGUGACGGUAAUGGGUAAAGAAGCACCGGCUAACUACGUGCCAGCAGCCGCGGUGAUACGUAGGGUGCGAGCGUUGUCCGGAUUUAUUGGGCGUAAAGGGCUCGUAGGUGGUUGAUCGCGUCGGAAGUGUAAUCUUGGGGCUUAACCCUGAGCGUGCUUUCGAUACGGGUUGACUUGAGGAAGGUAGGGGAGAAUGGAAUUUCUGGUGGAGCGGUGGAAUGCGCAGAUAUCAGGAGGAACACCAGUGGCGAAGGCGGUUCUCUGGGCCUUUCCUGACGCUGAGGAGCGAAAGCGUGGGGAGCGAACAGGCUUAGAUACCCUGGUAGUCCACGCUGUAAACGGUGGGUACUAGGUGUGGGGUCCAUUCCACGGGUUCCGUGCCGUAGCUAACGCUUUAAGUACCCCGCCUGGGGAGUACGGCCGCAAGGCUAAAACUCAAAGGAAUUGACGGGGCCCCGCACAAGCGGCGGAGCAUGCGGAUUAAUUCGAUGCAACGCGUAGAACCUUACCUGGGUUUGACAUGGAUCGGGAGUGCUCAGAGAUGGGUGUGCCUCUUUUGGGGUCGGUUCACAGGUGGUGCAUGGCUGUCGUCAGCUCGUGUCGUGAGAUGUUGGGUUAAGUCCCGCAACGAGCGCAACCCUUGUUCACUGUUGCCAGCACGUUAUGGUGGGGACUCAGUGGAGACCGCCGGGGUCAACUCGGAGGAAGGUGGGGAUGACGUCAAGUCAUCAUGCCCCUUAUGUCCAGGGCUUCACGCAUGCUACAAUGGCUGGUACAGAGAGUGGCGAGCCUGUGAGGGUGAGCGAAUCUCGGAAAGCCGGUCUCAGUUCGGAUUGGGGUCUGCAACUCGACCUCAUGAAGUCGGAGUCGCUAGUAAUCGCAGAUCAGCAACGCUGCGGUGAAUACGUUCCCGGGGCUUGUACACACCGCCCGUCAAGUCAUGAAAGUUGGUAACACCCGAAGCCGGUGGCCUAACCGUUGUGGGGGAGCCGUCGAAGGUGGGACUGGUGAUUAGG